rnacentral:rRNA from 1 species
CCUACGGGUGGCUGCAGUGGGGAAUAUUGGACAAUGGGGGCAACCCUGAUCCAGCCAUGCCGCGUGUGUGAAGAAGGCCCUCGGGUUGUAAAGCACUUUCAGUGAGGAAGAACGCCUGGUGGUUAAUACCCAUCAGGAAAGACAUCACUCACAGAAGAAGCACCGGCUAACUCCGUGCCAGCAGCCGCGGUAAUACGGAGGGUGCGAGCGUUAAUCGGAAUUACUGGGCGUAAAGCGCGCGUAGGUGGCUUGAUAAGCCGGUUGUGAAAGCCCCGGGCUCAACCUGGGAACGGCAUCCGGAACUGUCAAGCUAGAGUGCAGGAGAGGAAGGUAGAAUUCCCGGUGUAGCGGUGAAAUGCGUAGAGAUCGGGAGGAAUACCAGUGGCGAAGGCGGCCUUCUGGACUGACACUGACACUGAGGUGCGAAAGCGUGGGUAGCAAACAGGAUUAGAUAUCCUAGUAGUC